rnacentral:rRNA from 1 species
UACGUAGGGUGCAAGCGUUGUCCGGAAUUAUUGGGCGUAAAGAGCUCGUAGGCGGUUUGUCGCGUCUGCUGUGAAAACUCGGGGCUCAACUCCGAGCUUGCAGUGGGUACGGGCAGACUAGAGUGCGGUAGGGGAGACUGGAAUUCCUGGUGUAGCGGUGGAAUGCGCAGAUAUCGGGAGGAACACCGGUGGCGAAGGCGGGUCUCUGGGCCGUAACUGACGCUGAGGAGCGAAAGCAUGGGGAGCGAACAGG